GUUAGAACGCUCGUAGUCGGAUUUCGAGGCGGGCUGACCGGUCUGCCGAUGGGUACGCACUGGCCGGCGCGUCUUUCCUUCCGGAGACCGUCUCACUCUUAACUGAGCGGAGGCGGGAGACGGAACGUUUACUUUGAAAAAAUCAGAGUGUUUCAAGCAGGCAGCUCGCUCUUGCAUGGAUUAGCAUGGGAUAAUGAAAUAGGACUUUGGUGCUAUUUUGUUGGUUUCGAACACCGAAGUAAUGAUGAGAAGGGACAGUCAGGGGCACUCGUAUUCCGCCGAGAGAGGUGAAAUUCUCAGACCAGCGGAAGACGAACCACUGCGAAAGCAUUUGCCAGGGAUGUUUUCACUGAUCAAGAACGAAAGUUAGGGGAUCGAAGACGAUCAGAUACCGUCGUAGUCUUAACCAUAAACCAUGCCGACUAGGGAUUGGGGGAUGUUCACAUAUUGACUCCCUCAGCACCUUACGGGAAACUAAAGUCUUUGGGUUCCGGGGGGAGUAUGGUCGCAAGACUGAAACUUAAAGGAAUUGACGGAAGGGCACCACCAGGUGUGGAGCCUGCGGCUUAAUUUGACUCAACACGGGGAAACUUACCAGGUCCAGACAUUGUGAGGAUUGACAGAUUGAGAGCUCUUUCUUGAUUCGAUGGGUGGUGGUGCAUGGCCGUUCUUAGUUGGUGGAGUGAUUUGUCUGGUUAAUUCCGUUAA
rnacentral:rRNA from 1 species